UUUAUUAUUUUGUAUAUAUAUAUAAAGAGAGAGAGAGGAAGAGAGAGAGAGAGAGAGAGAGUCUGACUACUAUAUUAUCGAUAAUAUCAAACUCUUGGUACUAUCGAGUUUUCUAUCAUUAGAUCUACCCUUUGAUCAUUUUCAUCCGUUAGAUUAUACUAUUUAACAACCACCUACUCGAACCAUUUUAUACUCAUAAGUUUUCGACCGUUGGAUGAAGGGAUGUGUGGUUAGGAUGAUAGUGGCCCCUUAGGAUUUAGUGGGUGAUUGGUUGAAUAGUAUGAUCUAACUGGUGGCAAUGGUCAAAAGAGUAGAUCUAACGAUCGAAAACUUAUGAGUACAAAAGGGUCUAUACUCAUAAGAGUAUAGUAGCCGGACUCUAUAUAUAUAUAUCUGGUUAGGAUAAUAGUAGUUCCCUAGAGUUGAGUGGAUGGUUGGUUGCACAAUAUGAUCUAAUGGGUUAAAAUAGUCAAGGGGGUAGAUCUAACGGCCGAAAACUUAUGAGUACAAAAGGGUCUAUACUCAUAAGAGUAUAGUAGCCGGACUCUAUAUAUAUAUAUCUGGUUAGGAUAAUAGUAGUUCCCUAGAGUUGAGUGGAUGGUUGGUUGCACAAUAUGAUCUAAUGGGUUAAAAUAGUCAAGGGGGUAGAUCUAACGGCCGAAAACUUGUGAGUAUAAAAGGGUCUAUACUGAUAAGAGUAUAAUAGUAGGACUAUACAUAUAGAGAGAGAGAGAGAGUUCGACUACUAUAUUAUUGAUAGUACCAAGCACUUGGUGCUAUUGAGUUUUCCGCCAUUCGAUCUAUCCCUUUGACCAUUUCUACCUGUUAGAUCGUAUUAUUCGACCAACCACUUACUUAACUCUAGAGAACCAUUAAUAUCUUAACCGCACAUUUCUUCAUGUAAGGGUCGAAAAUCUAAUAGCAUCAAUGACUUAGUACUAUUAAUAAUAUAGUAUCCUAAUUCUGUAUAUAAGUUUGCCUACUAUAUUAUCUGUACAACGAAAGGAGAAUGUAAAUCUUACAUAUUUUUUAUCAGAACACUAAUUAUACACACUAGUCAUAUCAAAUUCUUUUUUUAA
rnacentral:lncRNA from 1 species